GACGAACGCUGGCGGCGUGCUUAACACAUGCAAGUCGAAGAUAGUGGCGAACGGGUGAGUAAUACGUGGGUAACCUGCCCUCCUUUUUGGGAUAAGCCUUGGAAACGGGGGCUAAUACCGAAUAAAGGGGGAUGGGCUCAGGGCCUAUCAGCUUGUUGGUGGGGUGAUGGCCUACCAAGGCGGUGACGGGUAGCCGGCCUGAGAGGGUGACCGGCCACGUGGGGGAUGGGAUACGGCCCAGACUCCUACGGGAGGCAGCAGUUGGGGAUAGUGCACGAUGGGCGUAAGCCUGAUGCGGCGAAGCUGCGUGGGGGAUGAAGGCUUUCGGGUUGUAAACCUCUUGCGCUAUCGAGCGGGUAGGUGGAGAAGAAGCGCCGGCUAACUACGUGCCAGCAGCCGCGGUAAUAC
rnacentral:rRNA from 1 species